GAAAUUUGCACUCGUUUGGUCAUUUUACAGCCGGCGUUUGCACGAAGCAGACAUGUUUCAUUUUAUGUAUUUAAUUACAGCUACAUGUUGAGUUUCAACUGGGACCGGCAGUCGUGUCGUCGACAGACUUCUAAAUAUACUCGAUGUGUGGAGAAAGAUACAAAUAAAAAGCAACGUAAAUAUAAACAAUUAGGUACGUGCAAAACCAACAUUACGCAUUAUAUUUUUUGCAUGAACCGAAUAGUCUUGGAGUGUAGUCAAAAUAUUUGCUGGCAAGUCUUUAGGAUGUGCGAAAAUGUGAGACAAUCACGUGAAGAUAACUCAAUUAGGUCACUUUGGUUGUUAUAAACAGAGAUUUGUAGUUGAAUCGGGUUUAAGAGUCACUCUGUGAUGGUCGGCCUCGUUGUCACGGUGCUUUUUUAAUUUAUAGAUAGUUUGGUGUUUGAUCUUUCUCCACCGGCGACAUAUGCUUUUGUUUUUUUAUAUUACAAGUAAUAAAAGUCAUUCUAAAUACACGAAAA